CCUACGGGAGGCAGCAGUGGGGAAUAUUGGGCAAUGGAGGAAACUCUGACCCAGCGACGCCGCGUGCGGGAUGAAGGCCUUCGGGUUGUAAACCGCUUUCAGUAGGGAAGAAGCGAAAGUGACGGUACCUACAAAAGAAGCACCGGCUAACUAUGUGCCAGCAGCCGCGGUAAUACAUAGGGUGCAAGCGUUGUCCGGAAUUAUUGGGCGUAAAGAGCUCGUAGGUCGUUUGUUACGUCGGAUGUGAAAACCUGAGGCUCAACCUCAGGCCUGCAUUCGAUACGGGCAAACUAGAGUUUGGUAGGGGAGACUGGAAUUCCUGGUGUAGCGGUGGAAUGCGCAGAUAUCAGGAGGAACACCAAUGGCGAAGGCAGGUCUCUGGGCCAAUACUGACACUGAGGAGCGAAAGUCUGGGGAGCGAACAGGAUUAGAUACCCUGGUAGUCCAGACCGUAAACGGUGGGCACUAGUUGUGGGAACCUUCCACGGUUUCUGCGACGCAGCUACGCAUAGUGCCCGCCGUCGGGAGGUACGAGUCGCGAGAAGUUAAAACGUUAAAAGUAAGUAGUAGUAACGGUCGUAGAGAGUCGACGACGACGACGACGGAGGAGGAGG
rnacentral:rRNA from 1 species